GGAGGGAUCAUUAACACGUUUCAUACACGUAUUCCAAACCAACCCGUGAACCACAUGAUAUCACACCCUUUCCAUCUCCUUGCUUUCCAAGGGUCAAACCUGAGAGGCAAGAAGAUCACAAACCCCUUUCACCCCCUUAUAACCACCUGGACUGAUAUCUGUUUUAUUCAUCUUCUAUUCCUAUUCACUGGAGCAAUCCGGCGUUGGGGACUGACUGAUGUAAUAAUCCAAUGUAUAAUCAAAUAUCUAAGCACAACUCUUAGCAACGGAUAUCUUGGUUCUCGCAACGAUGAAGAACGCAGCGAAAUGCGAUAUGUAAUGCGAAUUGCAGAAUUCAGUGAAUCAUCAAAUCUUUGAACGCAAAUGGCGGUCUCGGGUUAGUCCUGAGACCACGCCUCUCUCAGUAUCGGUUCAACCUCACCUCGGAUGCGUAUUGCACUGUCUUAUUUCAUUAUAGGUAGGCGCAGUACAACCUCCGGAGAAUGAGAGUAAUAUCACCCCAACUUGUUGUGGGAGGUAUUUCUCUUCAAAUACGUUGAGCUGUGAUCUCCUAGUACCUUGUGGGGCGUUCAAACCCUCACAAUAGCCUCUUUGCUAUUUCUCCUUACUAGUGAACGUGGAUAAUUUCAUGCCCUUCAAACCGGUGUGAAUUGAAACGUUUUAUCUAUGUAGGUGGGAUGUUUAUAUAGUGAAGCAGUGUGAACGACUAGGCAGUAUCACUCUAAAGCGAUCAGGAAUUAACCUCCGAAUGAUAAUGUCAUGUUAUCAUUCUUUCGAAUUAGAUCUGAGAUGAAGCGAGGAGACCCCCUGAAUUUAAGCAUAUUAUUAAGGGGAGGAAAAGGAACUAACAAGGAUUCCCCCAGUAACGGCGAGUGAAGCGGGAUGAGCUCAAGUUGAGAAUCGGUGAUCCGUGCGGGUCGUUCCGAAUUGUACCCUAGAGACGUGUGAUCAGCGUGUGACCCAGGUCCAAGUCCUUUGGAAAAAGGCAUCAGAGAGGGUGAGAAUCCCGUCCCGAACCUGGAGCUCGCCGCGUACGAUGCAUGUUCACAGAGUCGAGUUGUUUGGGAUUGCAGCUCUAAAGCGGUGGUAAGGUUCAUCGAAAGCUAAAUACAGGCGAGAGACCGAUAGCGAACAAGUACCGUGAGGGAAAGAUGAAAAGAACUUUGAAAAGAGAGUUAAAAAGUACUUGAAAUUGCUAAGAGGGAAGCGCUAAACACCAGUGUGACUGCUCUCAUUCUGCCCGUGUGCUCUUCGUUCGUCCUGUGUGCGUCUAGUUGGAAACUCUAGUGCUGCGGCUUCGGAUGGGGAGGAGGCGGGUCCUGUGAGAGGAGCGCGUCAGGAUCAGUUCGGACUUUUGUGCAGGAGAGGAUGUGGAUCGAAGGUAGGGAUGGAAACAUCCUGUUAUAUCGGCCCCAUUCGACUGUGCUCCGGACUGAGGAAAAGUAAUGGUGCGCCACUAGGCUUGGUCCUCUGUUGCUCUGUGGCUCGGUGUUGCUUGGAUGACAAUGUCAUGCGGUGAUCCGAGUUGCAUACGCAGUGGAACGUCCCGAUGCACCCAUCACGAUUCUGACUAAAUGGUGUUUAUCGACCCGUCUUGAAACACGGACCAAGGAGUCUAACAUAUAUGCGAGUAUUUGGGUGCAUGAAACCCGCGUGCGCAAUGAAAGUAAAGGCUGGGCUUGUCCCGGCUGAGGUAGGAAUCCUGGUGUAAACAGCUGGGAGGCACUAUCGACCGAUCGUCACUUGUGAAAGAUUUGAGUCAGAGCAUAUCUGUUGGGACCCGAAAGAUGGUGAUCUAUGCCUGAACAGGGUGAAGCCAGGGGAAACUCUGGUGGAGGCUCGUAGCGAUACUGACGUGCAAAUCGUUCGUCUGAUUUGGGUAUAGGGGCGAAAGACUAAUCGAACUAUCUAGUAGCUGGUUCCCUC
rnacentral:misc_RNA from 1 species